GUGACAAAAAGUCAAAAAUAGAACUUUCAAAAGUAAUGCAAGAACUCCAUUUACAUUGGGUAUUUCUAUUGAAGAUGAAGGAGUGAGUUCUUUGAUAUCAGGUUUAGUUGUACAUAAAGGUCUGCACUUUGCUCUAUCUAUUGCAACUUUUGGUCAACAAACUUUCUCUACAAUUUAUCUGAUAUGAGAAUAUUCCUAGGUAAACUAACCUUUUUAGAUAUCAAUAACAACUCUAUUAGUGCAAAAGGGGACUUUCAUUUUGGUGGAUGUAUCAAAAGGACAAAGAGCUUGUUGUGGCUGAACCUUUACAUGAUUGGCAUAGGAGAUGAGAUGGAAAGAAGAUCGGCCACACAAAUACAGCACACCCUGCAAAGAAGGGAAAUACUCCUGCCACUGAUAAGUCCAAGACACACAGUCCAGAGUCUACUGAUGGUAACACUUGCAGCAAGACAUUUGGUUCAGAUGGGGCUCUUCAAUGUAAGCACUGGUAUAUGGACAAAUACAGCUAAUCGGAGCAGAUCCUACUAUUGGAGCAAGUAUUUUUGUUGAAAAGCAAUUAAGAAAAUGAUGCAACUCAUUCCACUACAUCCUAGAAUUUUAGGUGAAGUAGUCUCUUGAUCAUGAUUCUCUGGCAUUAUAUGU